ACACAUGCAAGUCGAACGGCAGCACGGGUGCUUGCACCUGGUGGCGAGUGGCGAACGGGUGAGUAAUACAUCGGAACAUGUCCUGUAGUGGGGGAUAGCCCGGCGAAAGCCGGAUUAAUACCGCAUACGAUCUACGGAUGAAAGCGGGGGACCUUCGGGCCUCGCGCUAUAGGGUUGGCCGAUGGCUGAUUAGCUAGUUGGUGGGGUAAAGGCCUACCAAGGCGACGAUCAGUAGCUGGUCUGAGAGGACGACCAGCCACACUGGGACUGAGACACGGCCCAGACUCCUACGGGAGGCAGCAGUGGGGAAUUUUGGACAAUGGGCGAAAGCCUGAUCCAGCAAUGCCGCGUGUGUGAAGAAGGCCUUCGGGUUGUAAAGCACUUUUGUCCGGAAAGAAAUCCUUGGUUCUAAUAUAGCCGGGGGAUGACGGUACCGGAAGAAUAAGCACCGGCUAACUACGUGCCAGCAGCCGCGGUAAUACGUAGGGUGCGAGCGUUAAUCGGAAUUACUGGGCGUAAAGCGUGCGCAGGCGGUUUGCUAAGACCGAUGUGAAAUCCCCGGGCUCAACCUGGGAACUGCAUUGGUGACUGGCAGGCUAGAGUAUGGCAGAGGGGGGUAGAAUUCCACGUGUAGCAGUGAAACGCGUAGAGAUGUGGAGGAAUACCGAUGGCGAAGG
rnacentral:rRNA from 1 species